GCUUGGGUGGCUAAGUUGGUUAAGCGUCUGACUUUGGAUCAGUUCAUUAUCUCAUGGUUCAUGAGUUCAAGCCCCGUGUCAGGCU
rnacentral:tRNA from 1 species